GGCCUCGUAGUUCAAUGGAUAGAACAGCACACUCCUAACGUGCGGAUACAGGUUCGAUUCCUGUCGAGGCCA
rnacentral:tRNA from 3 species